GAUCUGGAGGAGAUCCAGGAGCAUGUCCACAGCAUGCUCGACUGCAAACACUGCCUCUAUCGUCCGGUUGUACUGUUGGGGCGACCAUUAAACGAGCUCAUUGGCUUCCUGUGCAAGGAGUGCUGCCGCUGGCUUACCUGAGCCCUGAUGAUGCCGCGCUGCAGCUUCUCCUGUCGACGGCUAAGCAGCAUGUUGCGCACAGAGCGCUGGAUGACCGUGGCUGCCCGAUGGCGUCUGGCCAACCACGCCCUGGCCGCCCUCUGGGCUACGACUACCUGCAGACGCUCCUCCAGAGCCUGAUGGACACGGAAUGCCCUCUGAAUCUUCACGGCACAGAGAUGGUGGUAAACUGCAGCAGAAAAGCGUAGUCUUCUUUGGGCAUUCUCUGCUUCCAUCAUCUAGGGAAGCAAUCAGUCAAUUAAACCAUGAAAAAUGAAACAUGAAUCUGUCAAAUCACUAACAACCUACUAAAGAACAUACAGUAGUUCUGACACAGGAUGAAGUGUAU